CCUUCAGUGCCCAACAGCUGGGACAAUUUCUCUAAGGGUUUUGAGAUGGGACUGUCUAGUUGCAGGAAGACAAGCUCAGGGAUCCCACUGAUUCUACAUUAUGGGUCUUACUCUUUCAUCCAGACUGGAGUGCAAGGGCAUGAUCUCAGCUCACUGCGCAAACUCCGCCUCCCAGGCUCAAGUAAUUCUCCCGCCUCAGCCUCCCGAAUAACUGAGACUACAAGCCCGC